rnacentral:rRNA from 1 species
AAAGGAAUAGACGGGGACCCGCACAAGCGGUGGAGCAUGUGGUUUAAUUCGAAGCAACGCGAAGAACCUUACCAAGUCUUGACAUCCCGGUGACCGUUCCGUAAUGGGAACUUUUCUUCGGAACACCGGUGACAGGUGGUGCAUGGUUGUCGUCAGCUCGUGUCGUGAGAUGUUGGGUUAAGUCCCGCAACGAGCGCAACCCUUGUUCUUAGUAGCCAGCAGUUCGGCUGGGCACUCUAGGGAGACUGCCGGGGAUAACUCGGAGGAAGGUGGGGACGACGUCAAAUCAUCAUGCCCCUUAUGACUUGGGCUACACACGUGCUACAAUGGCGUAAACAAAGUGAAGCAAUGCCGUGAGGCCAAGCAAAUCACAAAAAUAACGUCUCAGUUCGGAUUGUAGUCUGCAACUCGACUACAUGAAGCUGGAAUCGCUAGUAAUCGCAGAUCAGAAUGCUGUGGUGAAUACGUUCCCGGGUCUUGUACACACCGCCCGU